rnacentral:rRNA from 1 species
CCUACGUGAGGCAGCAGUGGGGAAUAUUGCACAAUGGGCGAAACCCUGAUGCAGCAACGCCGCGUGAGUGAAGAAGUAUUUCGGUAUGUAAAGCUCUAUCAGCCGGGAAGAAGAUGCAGCUACCUGAUUAAGAAUCCCCGGCUAACUCCGUGCCAGCAGCCGCGGUAAUACGGAGGGGGCACGCGUUAUCCGGAUUUACUGGGUGUAAAGGGAGCGCAUACGGCAGUGCAAGACUGGAGUGAAAGCCCGGGGCUCAACCCCGGAACUGCAUUUGAAACUGGGCGGCUAGAGUACUGGAGAGGCAGGCGGAAUUCCUAGUGUAGCGGUGAAAUGCGUAGAUAUUAGGAGGAACACCAGUGGCGAAGGCGGCCUGCUGGACAGUAACUGACGUUGAGGCGCGAAAGCGUGGGGAGCAAACAGGAUUAGAUACCCGAGUAGUC